UAAUAUUAGAGGUAAAUUAAUAUGAUAUGUUAGAAUAUAAUGGUGUGUGUGUGUGUCAAUUAUAAACAAACAGGCAAGGCAGGGUUUGAGAAAAGUGCAACAGAAUCCACCAACCCUAUAAAGAAAAAAAAGACAACUCCCUAAUUAAACAUGCACUCCCCUUUUCUAAACAAACUCCUCUCCUUCUUCUUCCUCUUCCUCUCUUCUUCUUCUCAUUGCUUGACGUCCUUGCCUCUUCGAGUCGUAAAGUUAACUAAUCUCUUUCGACGUACAUAGACAGAAGUGUAUAUAUAUAUAUUUAUGAGAAGUGAAGGUAGUUGUUGCUCGUUUUCUUACUUCAAGGUCUUGCUUGGAGCUGCGGCAGUUGGGAUGUUUGUAUGGCUUUUAAUCGUUGGCAUGCCCGACAGCAGAGAACGGUCGGUAGCAAAAACAACAAGCUGGCCGGCAGCUAGGUCUGAGUUUGAGGGAAGCCAUAUGAAGCAAGCCAAGGAGCUUAACUUCAUGAGCAAAGUUAAAGUCCCUAAAGGACCCGACCCAAUUCAUAACAGGCGAACGGGAGUAAAAGGACGGCCACCCGCCUGACCUUAGGCUUAGGCUUAGGCUUAGGCUUAGGCUUCCUCCAGUUUGAGAGCAACUCAUGUCUCUUGGUUCUUCUCAACGUUACCCUUUAAUGUUAAUUAACUUCAAACAACAUGCCUCUUAUUUGUAUUCUAAUUUCAAUAAUCCAAAAUAAAAAACAUCUGGAUUGUACAUA